UACGGAGGGUGCAAGCGUUAUCCGGAUUUACUGGGUUUAAAGGGUGCGUAGGCGGUUUGGUAAGUUGAUAGUGAAAUCCAACAGCUUAACUGUUGAACUGCUUUCAAUACUGCUAAACUAGAGUGUAGUAGAGGUGGGUGGAAUUUUACAUGGAGCAGUGAAAUGCGUAGAUAUGUAGAGGAACGCCAAUAACGAAGGUAACUCACUGGGCUACUACUGACGCUGAGGCACGAAAGCGUGGGGAGCAAACAGG
rnacentral:rRNA from 1 species